UACGGAGGGUGCGAGCGUUAUCCGGAAUUACUGGGUUUAAAGCGUGUGUAGGCGGCCACGUAAGUCGGAUGUGAAAGCCCCGGGCUCAACCCGGGAAGUGCACUCGAUACUGCGUGGCUUGAGUACUGGAGAGGUUGGUGGAAUUCUCGGUGUAGAGGUGAAAUUCGUAGAUAUUCGGAGGAACACCAGUGGCGAAGGCGGCUCACUGGCUCGACACUGACGCUGAGGUGCGAAAGCGUGGGGAGCAAACAGG
rnacentral:rRNA from 1 species